GGAACUAUACAAGGGUGAUCUGACUGCAGCAUUUAUCACCCCAUUUGGUAACCAGGGUUGAUUCAGCUGAUUUGGCUGGCUAGGUAGGUGUCCAUUCUUCCCUUGCCACUCCAUGUGUGUCCCUCCUGAAUUGCAUGUUUGGUCAAAGAGAAUGACCCUCCUUAAUAGAGGAGGAUCAUUCCAUUCUUUGGUUAAAGGUAUACACGUAACUGCACUCCCCUGCUAGAACCUCCAAUCAAGCUCUCAAGAAUACUGGAAAAAUAUGAAAGGGGAAAAAAAUGAAUGAACUAGGAUAUGCAUUGCAGGAGUAU
rnacentral:snRNA from 1 species